GGUUUUGAGUUGCAAGUUUAAUUCUUUCAAAAGUACUAAUAGGUGGCAAGGAACAGAAACUUCAUUAGCCGCAACACAAUUGAUAGCAGAUUGAUCUUAUUGUAACAUACUUCACCUAGAGAAUCAAAAGGAACUGAAAACUUGUCAGAAAAUAGACUGAGGGAAUACUAUGUAUUGCAAAACUUCGACAUCUAUGGGAAGUAUGUAGGCAUAGUUGCAACUGAGGGCUAUAAAUGAUGUGUGUAGGCAUAGUUGCAACUGAGGGCUAUAAAUGAUGUUAUUAUUAAGCCAGAAAUUACAGACAACACCUUAGGAAAGACAGCUACAAUAGUCCAAAAAAAUUGUAGAAAAAUCCAACUCAUAUUUAAAACUUUUUCUGAGAUUCUCAGUAACAUACAGUUACUGAGAUGGUAAAACAGAGAAGAUGGCUAGAGUCAGCACAAAAAAUGAGUAAUGGAUCAGGAGAUGGAUUAAUAGGCAAAGAAUUAUCGAGAAAAGGCUUCCGACAGCAGACGACUAGGCUAGUCAGAAGAAUUGAAGCUCGAUCCAUUAAGCUCUAAUAUUCAAUGGUGGAUUCUGCACAAAUAGAUGGUGGCAGCAAGGCCCAAGUUUAUGAAAUGAAUGGACUACAAAUCAGGGAAUGGUCCGGAAAAAUCAAAUUAAAAAUCAGGGAAUUGAGAAAAGAGACAAAAAAUUAAAUUAGGGAAUGGUCCGGAGAGAAUAUGAUGUUUAAAUGGUGGACAGUGGUAGCUGGCUGUUCCCUAAGAUAGCUACAAACUAAAACGAGUAUGGAUAAAACUAUUUGGGCACAAAUCUAUGGGCGACAGUCAGUGAGAGCAGUGGCUGGUUGGAGAUAGACAAAGCAACUAGUUUGAAAACCAGCUCUGAUGGACUCGUCCGAGUGAUCAAGACACUCUUUAGAGAAUUCACAAGACGUCUUAGACAAGCUGGAGUAAAGUUUCUAUUUAGGCAGAGACCAACACAAGAACCGAAAUAGAAACAUAUACUAAACAAAGGACUGCUAAUCCUCACAAGGACAAUGUUAAGAAUCGAAAUAGAAACAUAUACUAAACAAAGGACUGCUAAUCCUCACCAGGACAAUGUAUAUAUCUCUGGAUUGGUCAAAAAGGAGUCAUUGGGGAUGAAUUACAGGUUGAUGUAAUUAGUUGCGGAACAAGGAGAUAGCACACCCGUUCUGGAAAGUUCCGUAAUUCAGAUUUGGUCAUUCAAAUGAGAGGUACUUACAUGGAAAAGGAGAAAAUGGUCAAGGACUUGCCAAAUGUAAGGUGGACCUGAAGACAUGAUCUACAAGAAUAAUAGGCCUACGGCAAGCACACAAGGAUGGUCUAAGAAGGUGCAAAACACAAAGUGAAGCCAGAGAAUUUCCUUUAUAGAUCCUCAUAGGUGGGCCUGUACGGAGGAGGGGUGGAUGUGUGGGCACACCAGGCUGGAUAAGAUUAAGAAUGAAGUUAUUCGUCAGAAGGUAG
rnacentral:lncRNA from 1 species